rnacentral:rRNA from 1 species
AGCGUAAUAGCUCACUAGUCGAGUCGGCCUGCGCGGAAGAUGUAACGGGGCUAAAACUAUGUGCCGAAGCUGCGGAUUUGACAUUAGUCAAGUGGUAGGGGAGCGUUCUGUAAGCCGAUGAAGGUGUAUUGAGAAGUNUAUGCUGGAGGUAUCAGAAGUGCGAAUGCUGACGUGAGUAACGACAAAACGGGUGAAAAACCCGUUCGCCGAAAGACCAAGGGUUCCAGUCCAACGUUAAUCGGGGCUGGGUGAGUCGACCCCUAAGGCGAGGCCGAAAGGCGUAGUCGAUGGGAAAAUGGUUAAUAUUCCAUUACUUCUGUGUAAUGCGAUGAGAGGACGGAGAAGGCUAAAUCAGCCUGGCGUUGGUUGUCCAGGUGAAAGGAUGUAGGCAUGUAUCUUAGGCAAAUCCGGGGUACUCUAUGCUGAGAUCUGAUAGCAAGCUGUACUUGUACAGCGAAGUGGUUGAUGCCAUGCUUCCAGGAAAAGUCUCUAAGCUUCAGUUACACAGGAAUCGUACCCGAAACCGACACAGGUGGUCAGGUCGAGUAGACCAAGGCGCUUGAGAGAACUCUGCUGAAGGAACUAGGCAAAAUGGUACCGUAACUUCGGGAGAAGGUACGCUGUUGUUGGUGAUGGAACUCGCUUCCUGAGCUGACGACAGCCGCAGAAACCAGGCCGCUGCAACUGUUUAUUAAAAACAUAGCACUCUGCAAACACGAAAGUGGACGUAUAGGGUGUGAUGCCUGCCCGGUGCUGGAAGGUUAAUUGAUGGGGUUAGCGUAAGCGAAGCUCUUGAUCGAAGCCCCAGUAAACGGCGGCCGUAACUAUAACGGUCCUAAGGUAGCGAAAUUCCUUGUCGGGUAAGUUCCGACCUGCACGAAUGGCAUAAUGAUGGCGGCGCUGUCUCCAGCAGAGGCUCAGUGAAAUCGAAAUCGCUGUGAAGAUGCAGUGUACCCGCGGCUAGACGGAAAGACCCCGUGAACCUUUACUGCAGCUUGACACUGAACUUUGACCUUACUUGUGUAGGAUAGGUGGGAGGCUUUGAAGCUGGAACGCUAGUUCCAGUGGAGCCGUCCUUGAAAUACCACCCUGGUAAUGUUGAGGUUCUAACUCUGUCCCGUGAUCCGGGACGAGGACCGUGUCUGGUGGGUAGUUUGACUGGGGCGGUCUCCUCCUAAAGAGUAACGGAGGAGUACGAAGGUGCGCUCAGCGUGGUCGGAAAUCACGCGUAGAGUAUAAAGGCAAAAGCGCGCUUAACUGCGAGACCCACAAGUCGAGCAGGUACGAAAGUAGGUCUUAGUGAUCCGGUGGUUCUGUAUGGAAGGGCCAUCGCUCAACGGAUAAAAGGUACUCUGGGGAUAACAGGCUGAUACCGCCCAAGAGUUCAUAUCGACGGCGGUGUUUGGCACCUCGAUGUCGGCUCAUCUCAUCCUGGGGCUGAAGCAGGUCCCAAGGGUAUGGCUGUUCGCCAUUUAAAGAGGUACGCGAGCUGGGUUUAGAACGUCGUGAGACAGUUCGGUCCCUAUCUACCGUGGGCGCUGGAAAUUUGAGAGGAUCUGCUCCUAGUACGAGAGGACCAGAGUGGACGAACCUCUGGUGUACCGGUUGUGACGCCAGUCGCAUCGCCGGGUAGCUAUGUUCGGAAGGGAUAACCGCUGAAAGCAUCUAAGCGGGAAGCCUACCUCAAGAUAAGAUUUCCCUAGGACUUUAUGUCCUCUAAAGAGCCGUUCGAGACUAGGACGUUGAUAGGUUGGAUGUGGAAGCAUAGUGAUAUGUGAAGCUGACCAAUACUAAUUGCUCGUGAGGCUUGACUAUACAACACCCAAGCAGUUG